GUGCCUGCCGCCCGCGCCGCGCCCUGCGGCUCCGUCUAGGGGACGGCGCCGGCUACUGCACGGCAUCGCCCCGCCGCGGCGCGGGCAGGCGGGCGGGCGGGCUUCUCCCGCGGGCCGCGGAGCGGGGCAGCGCCGGCUCCGCGCGCCGAGGUCGGCCCCGGCGCGGGGCGGCGAGGCCCGGCCGCCCCGCUCGGCCUCCUCCCCCCGCGGAGGGCGCCCCCCGGCGGCGGCGGCCGCGGGCGCGGUGGGGCCCGGCGGGGGAGGCCGCGGCCCGGCGGGGCCGCCUGGGGCGAGAGCGCGGUGCGGUGCCGCCGUGGAGCGGGUGGGAGACCCGAGCGUGGCCGCGGUGCCUUGUGACGGCUGGGAGGGGAAGGAGUAGCGCGGCCGGGUGUCCCCCUCCGGCGGGCGGGUACGGCGAGCACAGGAAUGAGCCUUGGGAGAAAGGAGAGUGGCUCCGUGGGCUUUUCUUGCAAUAACACGGAUUCCUCUUGGGAGACGCCUUAGGAGCGAAGACAGUCCAGAUGAGCGUAGGUCCACCACUCGGUUUUGUUUAGGCAUCGUUUACCUUGAUGAAGUAGCAGAGGGAGACCCAGAUCUGCAAAGUAACUCCAGCAGUGGCGUCCUGGUCUGUGACAUCCCUGCGGAGGAGCCUCCCCUGCGCUGCUGGCUCAGCAUCCGCCUUCCUGCAUGGCGGCAGAGGUGCAACCGGACCAGAGAAGCCAGCGUGGCGGGAGCGUGACAGUGUGGUUUAGCUUCACUGGGAUUAAUGUCAAACACUGUUUACAGCCAACAAGACAAGAUUUGGGCAAAAUAGCCCAAAUUUUUAGUCGGUGAGCUCGUGGGGAUGUGGACAGGGUUUGGAAGAUGAGUAGGAGUGAAGCUAACAUGAAAUGAAGACCUAUCAGACUCUGUAAUGAAUAAGUUGACUUGCUGGUUCUCUGGGAGAAGAAAAGUGACAAUAUAUUAAGAGAGGACUCUCGCCUGUGAGACUGGUCCCUGCCCAUUUGGGGUCCUCCGGUGCCUCCGAAGCACUGUUUACCCCUGUUUACUUUGAGCUGAGUAACAGCUCUAGAAAGGAGAACAGUCUGUGAAGAGUUCCUCCCUCUCACCCCUCUCUCCUCUCCCGCUACCUGCAGCGCAGAAGAGGAUGACAAAGAACUGUUAAGAAUGGGGGAAGGGAAAGCAAGUUACAGGUAGUCACCACCUGUGUGUCAGAAUCAGCCCGAAGUCGCAAGCCGUGCUGGGUGCGCUGAUUGAGAUGCCUAGUCACAAGCGCUGCAGGGAGUGCAAUCCCUCACAUCUCGCUGGCUGAGCUAAUGAGGUUAGGAAGAAACUUUUCUCAUGGGCCCAUUGCUCUAGAAAUGCCAACUUCAGAUUUUUUGUGCUUGCCCCUGAAGUGUUCACCCCUGCUCGAUUUGGGUUCUGUUGCCUGAGCCUGUACAGAAAUUUCUGUCACCCUGCUUUAACUAGGCAGCGCGGGGCGAGCGUGGUGGCACACCUCCAGCAGCCGCCGCAGGCACCGCGCGCCCGUUCUGCGCCCGCGCUGGCCUGCACAGCUGGAAGCUGGCUCCUGCGCAGAAGCUGUACAGCGGUAUUAGGGCACCGCUGCACCUGAACUACAAAGUUGUGCAGGAGACAAGGUACAUUACCUUGGGCUUGGUGGCAUGUUUAUGUGAAUUCAGGUUUUCCCGACCAGAUCUGGUUUGUGCCCAGAGCGGGGGUGUGAAAUAGAUCCGCACUGUCUGCACCCACCUGUGUCAACCCACCCCGAGCCUGGCCUUGGAGUGGGCGUCAGUUCCAUAGUGUGGUACAAGGCUGUCAUUUCACCUAAUGGUACUUUAUGGGGUUGUUUCUGUUUUGUUUUCAAGAGUCAGAAGAAGAAGCCAUUUCUCUACCAGAAUUUACAAAUCUAGUCAGUUUUGGAUAUUUGGAUGCUCUCUGAACGACAUCAGGAUUUUAUCUCUUCUGAGUGGAAGUGUUGUCAAUGCAAGGAGACUGACCCAGAGGCUUAGUCUAAAAAUAUGUUAUUUGGGAAGGGCUCUUGAUAGAAAGAAACUGUUUGUUGUGGUUAGUUUUCCACUCCAGAUAAAAUCUUCAAUGGUUUGUUGAGACAGAAUCAUAGCUCUGCCAAGUUUAAUGACUCAACACCCUUGAGAAAGCUGAGGAGAUAUUGUGACUUUGGUAGUGAAGUAAAUGGGUUGAUUGAAUCAACACGGAUACGUAUUUUCUGUUCUAGGGAUACUUAUUGGCUUUACUGUUAAUGUAUAUUAAUUGUCUGCUACAUUAUCUUCUACUUUCAAGCGUCACGAGCUUUGUCACUAAUGCAAAAUGCAGCUUUUUUUAGAGGCUAAGCUCUUCUGCCAGAUCUUAGAUGCAUGUUUACACACUGGAAAAAAACUAUUCAAGUAAAUGUUGUGCGCAUAUAUUAAGCAUUUUUUCUGACAAGACAAGACUCAUCUUUGAACUUUCGAAGUCCAAUUAUUUUAUGCUUAUGCUCCCCUAUCACAAAAGGUAACUAUUUUGCAAGCAGCAAAAGCGUGCAUCUCACUAACACUUUGAUCAUAGAGGAAAAAGAAAAGCUGAAGUGAUCUCCCUUGAAAGCAAAGUACAUCAGGCAUGAAAAAUUCCAGAAGAUGGAUUUUCCCAGAAGUUCUGACAACGCAGGGUGAGAGUUUCAAUUAUAAAACUGCCUCUGUGAAUAGCAGGUGACAAUUUGAUUCUGAUAUUUCCAAGUUGCUGUUAGAAUAUGUUAAUUCACAAAGAGUUUUUGUCUUUUGGGCAAUGAAUAAAGAAUUAUAAGAUUACAGAAGUGUUAACAUAGAAUAUCAUGGUAAUAGUAGUCUUAAUACUGUAAUCUUUGAUAUUCCUUGGA